GGGGGAGUCUAGUAUGCUACAAACACCGGUACUUAGCAAAGGAAGUCACUAUGUGAAAUUUUGAAGUAGAUAAUCGAACGCUGGCGUGCCGGUUACAAAGUCACUAGGCUAAUGCAAGUCAUUAUGGUAAUGGUCAGUCCAUGGCACUCUUUUGACCUGAUCAGGAUAUAGGGCUCACGGCGGUUGUGACUGGUCGACAGGGGAUGCUUACUCCUCCUAGACACAUGAUCCCAUCUCUGGUGUGUUCAGGGGUCCGUGUUUACCCAACUACACUAUUCGUUAUCUUCACCAUUCAUGACAAUAUUAGAAUGCUCUUACGAAGUAUAGAAAUCUAUUAAAUUGAAUUAAUUUCUAAGAUUUCAAGAUAUGCUCGUACUAAAUUAACAACAAUUAUUAGUUAACAAUUGAUGAUUAGGAUGUCUUGUACUGGCGGAGUUGUAAUGAUAACUACGUUCAACUGACUUGUUUAGUUGGUGUAUAGGUGAAUACUGGCCGACUGAGAAAACCAACGGUUGUUUUUAUAAUGCUCCAAGCCAACUCAGUUCAAUAUUCAUGAACGUUUGGGUUUUUUUCUUUAAAAAUUCAGACUUCGUAUUUCUUGCACACUAAUAUUAUUUCACGGUUAGUGACACCGAUCACGUUUACCAAUAGUAACAAACCUAUGUUGAUCAGGAACCCAUAUAAAACACUUUUAAAAUUCAUUACAUUUUUCACUUGUGAUAUAGGUACCUAUGGACACAAUUGCUCUGGAGGACGGUGUGUUUAUGGAUUGUAUGGAUUUGAAUGUUUAAAGAAGUGUAACUGUUCACGUGAUCAGUUGUGUGACGCAAUUACAGGAUGCUCAUAUAAUAUCACUGCUACUUCACAAGAUGUGAUUACUGAUGAAAAACCUGUCAACAUGAUCUAUACAGGGACGGAUCCAGGAAUUGCGGUUACGGGGGCGCCACUUUAUGAGGCAGUGGGUCCAGAGCGAAGUCCUAGAGGGGGUCCAGGGGGCGAAGCCCCCGGAAGCUCCUGGAUUUUACAGAUUUUAUGGGGCUUGAAACAUUUCUCCUAUUUAGUCAUUUGUAUUAUCCUCUAUCAGUUUUUAAAGCAGACGAAAAGAGCUACAAAGAUCAGGAAAUCAUACACAAGAUUUUACCUGUUUUAUUGGCCGUCAUAUUCAGCGUUGGAUCAAUCUUAGUUAUCAUCGUCGUACUGUACGAUCAAAGAUUAAAGUUUCUCAGACAAUAUUUCUCAG